GACUUGGAGGUUGUGCCCUUGAGGCGUGGCUUCCGGAGCUAACGCGUUAAGUCGACCGCCUGGGGAGUACGGCCGCAAGGUUAAAACUCAAAUGAAUUGACGGGGGCCCGCACAAGCGGUGGAGCAUGUGGUUUAAUUCGAUGCAACGCGAAGAACCUUACCUACUCUUGACAUCCAGAGAACUUAGCAGAGAUGCUUUGGUGCCUUCGGGAACUCUGAGACAGGUGCUGCAUGGCUGUCGUCAGCUCGUGUUGUGAAAUGUUGGGUUAAGUCCCGCAACGAGCGCAACCCUUAUCCUUUGUUGCCAGCGRUYCGGYCGGGAACUCAAAGGAGACUGCCAGUGAUAAACUGGAGGAAGGUGGGGAUGACGUCAAGUCAUCAUGGCCCUUACGAGUAGGGCUACACACGUGCUACAAUGGCAUAUACAAAGAGAAGCGACCUCGCGAGAGCAAGCGGACCUCAUAAAGUAUGUCGUAGUCCGGAUUGGAGUCUGCAACUCGACUCCAUGAAGUCGGAAUCGCUAGUAAUCGUAGAUCAGAAUGCUACGGUGAAUACGUUCCCGGGCCUUGUACACACCGCCCGUCACACCAUGGGAGUGGGUUGCAAAAGAAGUAGGUAG
rnacentral:rRNA from 1 species